CGGUCCGUAAAUCAAUUUACGGCCCGUAAACUGACUUUACGACCAGCAGUGUUCAGGUCGUAAAUUUCACUUUCACAGAACAAUAUAUAUUCGUCCAUAUCAGUUCAACUCAUUAUUUUUCAUUCCUUCAAACCCUAGAACGACCUCCUACUCUCCUCCAACAUCAAGAACACCAAGGGUUUUCAAGAAAACCCAUCUCAAGAUUCAAGAAUCAAGAUUUGGGAAAUCUUCUCCAAAAUUCAAGUCUUUAAUUCAGGUUUUGGAGCAAUUAAGGGUUUGCAACAUAUUUCCUUCCAAAGUGAUUCAAGCUAGGUUUUGGGUGUUCUUCAAUAGAAAAGUGAAUUGUUAAAUCUUGUUUAACAAAUUAAGGUAACGAAGAAGAGCAGGUUCGUGAUACUUUCGACGCUUAAUAGGACUUGCUACUGCUGUGGAUUUGGUGAGCCCACAUCCUUGUUCGUGGGACACUUUCCGUUUCAUUUAUUAUUCUAGAUUUCCGGGCUGCGUCCCGAAGUUUGACGAUUGUUAUGUCUCUUAGAAGCUCCAUAGAUAGUUGUCAGAAUUGUUGGUAGAUUGUCAAAAGUCUCGUACGACUUAAUGGGUGUUUGCCACGUUGAUGGCCAUUGCUUAUAAAGACUUCCGCUGAUUUAAUUCAUGUGUUACAUUUAAUUUAUAAAUUGUUGGAGGCGAAUA